AUUGAACGCUGGCGGCAUGCUUUACACAUGCAAGUCGAACGGUAACAGGCCGCAAGGUGCUGACGAGUGGCGAACGGGUGAGUAAUGCAUCGGAACGUGCCCAGUCGUGGGGGAUAACGCAGCGAAAGCUGCGCUAAUACCGCAUACGAUCUAUGGAUGAAAGCGGGGGACCGUAAGGCCUCGCGCGAUUGGAGCGGCCGAUGUCAGACUAGGUUGUUUGGGGGGUAAAGGCCCACCAAGGCAACGAUCUGUAGCUGGUCUGAGAGGACGACCAGGCACACUGGGACUGGGACACGGCCCAGACUGCUGCGGGAGGCAGCAGGGGGGAAUUUUGGACAAGGGGCGCAAGCCUGAUCCAGCAAUGACGCGUGCAGGAAGAAGGCCUUCGGGUUGUAAACUGCUUUUGUACGGAACGAAACGGUUCUCUCUAAUACAGAGGGCUAAUGACGGUACCGUAAGAAUAAGCACCGGCUAACUACGUGCCAGCCGCCGCGGUAAUAC
rnacentral:rRNA from 1 species